UAUGUACCUACUAUAAAUAAAAUACCAUUCAUUAAUAUUAAUCAUUUCAGACAAAAAGACAGUGUUUCGCGUAUGAAUUUAAUCAUGGACACAAAAUUAUUAAAAGUUUUACAUUGUGCAAUAUUGGGAUUUUACUGUUUCGUACCCAAAGGGUAAAACUGGCCAUUUGUACUAAGACUCCACUGCCCGUCUGUCUGUCUGUCUGUCACCAGUCUAUUUUAUGUAUAGAGUGGAAUGAAUACAUAAAUGAAUAUUUGUGUUGUUGUGGUGGUAUGAUAACGAUUCGGGCGGGAAUACAAAUUAUUAAAAUUCUCCCAAUUUUCAGGGAAAAUUUACAAGACCGUGAACUGCCAUGAUUUUAAUUAUAAUUUCAGUACAUAAAAAAAUACUAGCAACACUUAAUUCUUAAACAAAUAGAAUGUCAUGUUUAUCAUAUCACAUUAUUUUAUGCGGCUGAUAUAAAGGAUGUAUAUAUAUUAUUUAAUCUCAUUAGUGUUACUAUCUUUUGUGUAUCUUUUUACGCAAACGUCAAUAUUUUGAUUGCUGUCACGAAUAUCAUUUCGAUCAAGACAACGUGACGUAAGAAAACAAGCUGUGCAGAAAAAUCGUUUUUAUUAUAAGUUUUCGUCGUUUGCCUGUGAAGUUCAAUAUAAUCUACAAGACGUGAAAUUUAUGCCUGUGUGUGAUUGAAGAACUGUGAAUCUAUUUCCUCCCACUUUGUACAGAGUUGAAAUCAUUAUAAUAAGCAAAACAUAAUGGUGUACCUUGAGCAUGAUAUGUUUGUCACGAGUUAAAUGCUUGCUUGCGGAAUCUCCCUGGCGACGAAAUUAUUAUUUUUUUAAAUACAUCUCAACUUUUUUUUAA